ensembl:miRNA
AUUCUGCUUAUCUGGAUGUAGCAUUUUUCCCACUGAAAACGUUACGCCCAGAUGAACAGAAUCA